rnacentral:rRNA from 1 species
AACGAACGCUGGCGGCAUGCCUAAUACAUGCAAGUCGAACGAUCCCUUCGGGGAUAGUGGCGCACGGGUGCGUAACGCGUGGGAAUCUGCCCUUGGGUUCGGAAUAACUUCUGGAAACGGAAGCUAAUACCGGCGGACGACGUAAGUCCAAAGAUUUAUCGCCAAAGGAUGAGCCCGCGUAGGAUUAGCUAGUUGGUGAGGUAAAGGCUCACCAAGGCGACGAUCCUUAGCUGGUCUGAGAGGAUGAUCAGCCACACUGGGACUGAGACACGGCCCAGACUCCUACGGGAGGCAGCAGUAGGGAAUAUUGGACAAUGGGGGAAACCCUGAUCCAGCAAUGCCGCGUGAGUGAUGAAGGCCUUAGGGUUGUAAAGCUCUUUUACCCGGGAUGAUAAUGACAGUACCGGGAGAAUAAGCUCCGGCUAACUCCGUGCCAGCCGCCGCCGUAAUAC